GUGGUGGUGGCUCAGUGGUAGAGCACUUGCUCAGCAUGUGUGAGCCACUGGGUUUGAUCCUCAGCACCACA
rnacentral:tRNA from 1 species